GAUGAAGAACGUAGCGAAAUGCGAUAAGUAAUGUGAAUUGCAGAAUUCAGUGAAUCAUCGAAUCUUUGAACGCACAUUGCGCCCCUUGGUAUUCCGAGGGGCAUGCCUGUUCGAGCGUCAUUAUAACCCCUCAAGCUCAGCUUGGUGUUGGGGCCUGCUGCACUGGCAGCCCUUAAAAUCAGUGGCGGCGCCAUCUGGCUCUAAGCGUAGUAAUUCUUCUCGCUAUGGAGUCCUGGUGGAUGCUUGCCAUCAACCCCCAAUUUUUCUAUGGUUGACCUCGGAUCAGGUAGGGAUACCCGCUGAACUUAAGCAUAUAAAUAAGCGGAGGA
rnacentral:misc_RNA from 1 species